ACUCACUGACACAGACCUCCUUGUUAAAGCCUGAUCCUGUCAGAUCUCAGAAGCUAAGCAGGAUGUAGCCUGGUUAGUACUUAGAUGGAAGAUCACUGGGAAUACCUGGUGCCACAGUAAGGC
rnacentral:rRNA from 1 species